rnacentral:rRNA from 1 species
GACGAACCGUGCGAACGUUGUUCGGAAUCACUGGGCUUAAAGGCGCGUAGGCGGCCGGGUUGGUCGUGGGUGAAAUCCCCCAGCUUAACUGGGGAACUGCCUACGAUACUGCCUGGCUCGAGGGAGGAAGGGGCGGUCGGAACUGUCGGUGGAGCGGUGAAAUGCGUUGAUAUCGACAGGAACGCCGGUGGCGAAAGCGGACCGCUGGCCCUCUUCUGACGCUGAGGCGCGAAAGCCAGGGGAGCGAACGGG